rnacentral:lncRNA from 1 species
GCUGGCUCUGAAGGGGGAAGGGGCCAGGAGGCAGGAAGCGGUGCUGGAGCUGGGAAAGGGGAGGAAGCAGGGGCUCCCCAAGAGCCUCGAGAGGGGGCAUGGCCCUGCCAACAGCUCCAUUUCAGCCUGGCCAGACUGAUCUCAGACAGUGACACCAGAGCUGUGAGGGACCCAUUUGUGCUGGGCAGAGCCGCUCCUUGUCAGAGAGGCCAGGGGUCACCAGCCUCCUUCAGACUCCCGUGAAGGCUCAGAUGGCCCCGCCUCCUAGAGUCCUCCAGCCAGCGGUGGGAACAUCUGCUCAGCCGUCCCAGGCCUGCUGCCGCCCCCAUGAGGCACUGGGUCCCCAUCCCCUCCUCUCCUCAUGGUCCCGUCCCACCGCAAACCCCCAGCUUGCCUGGGCCUGGUCCGGUCCCUGGGCGUCUGCAGCUGGCGCUCAGCGGCACACACCCCAUUCCCGGGAGAAAUCUCUCUCUCCUGGGUCACGGAGCCCUAGAGCACAUGGAGAAAUCCAGUGGCUUCCUUGCCUGAAAAGCACUCGGUGGGAAGUUGCUGCUCUUGCUGAGUGAGCGGUUCCUGGCCCCGACACUGCACUGUGGGUGCCCCAUGCCAAGAGGCCCCAGGUUAGGAAGCCCUCUCCAGAGGGUGCUCCUGUGCCUGGAAUUUACCAGCAGUGCCCGCCAUCCCCAAAGUGGGAUCUGCAUCCGCCAUCCGCUCUGCAGUGCCAGGAGGAAGAGGCUUCCACGUGGUCGUGUCCACUGGGCAGGGCUCUGUCGAGGGUGCGGGAGCCAGGUGCCUUGUUCCGCUCCAGGCCGAGCAUGUCAUGUUCCUUGUUCUGGAAUCCCGCAGUGGCUCCGGCAGCUGGGCGUGACGUGCAGGCUGGCAGCCAUCGGAUGUGUGCCCAGGAACAUACCAGUCAUUUGGGGAAACAGAGGUGGGGGCUCACCCCACACCUGGCUGGUCGCCCGACCUGCAGGCACAUUGUCAAGGGCCUCUGGUGUGGGAGGGGCUGUGGGGAGUGGACAUGCCUCCCCUGUUGGGGCUUCGCCUGCCUCUACUCCCAGCUCCGACUCCCCUGGUGACUGCAGGCUGCCACACUGUCGGUAACUAAGAGAACACUGCGAAGGGAAGUGGCAUCGACAGCCCCUCGCCCCGGUGCACGUGUGCACACAGCCAUCCUGUACACGCGGUGCAUUUGCAUGACCCUUAAGCUUGUCCUUUCGAUGCCCGAGAGAGCCAGAACCCCCUCCUCCUCCGGAGAGCUGCAGAAGUGAGAGAGGCUGAUGCGGGGGCCAGAACUCUCUCCUCCCCUGUCCAGCUCCGUCCACACCAGCAGUCAGCGCCUGGUGUCCUGCUCAGAUUGUGCCCAGGAACGCAUUGAGGUGCUGGCCAAGCUGGUGGGUUCCAGGCCUUCAGGCUGACCCUAUGCCCUGGCCAAGGGAUCGCUGGCCUCCCUAGCACCUUCUGUGGAUGGUGGCUCAUGAGCAGCAAGUGGGGAGGAUGGUCAACCUUGUUCAUCUCCAGUGCCUGGUGUCGCCCCACUGCUGGGGUCCCUGGAUCCCUGCUGGACUGAGCUCAGAGCUUCUUCCAGGACCACAGCAGAGGCUCCAACCCCACAGCUACCCUUGGAAUUCCCCUCAGCCAUUUACAAGCUGUGCAAAGGGCAACCCUGGGAUUGAGCCCACAUCCUGGUCUGGGGGUGCCCAUGGUGUCCAUGCUCUGCUGUGGGCAGUGGUGCCUGUGGGCAUCUGGCUACAUGGACCAGGGAGUGUGGUACUAGGGGGGCCUCUCAGGCCUGCUUCCUGGGCACCAACUCAGAUGGGGUGGCAUGGCUGCCUGAGGCAGGGACUCUCAGAGUCCUGCUCUCCGGAAAGAUCUCCAGGCAGGUGUGGGAGAUGGGAGACACUUCUACUCCAGCCAGGAGCCAGGUGGGCCCACUG